UACGGAGGGUGCAAGCGUUAUCCGGAAUCAUUGGGUUUAAAGGGUCCGUAGGCGGGCUAAUAAGUCAGGGGUGAAAUCCAACAGCUUAACUGUUGAACUGCCUUUGAUACUGUUAGUCUUGAAUUAUAUGGAAGUAGAUAGAAUGUGUAGUGUAGCGGUGAAAUGCUUAGAGAUUACACAGAAUACCGAUUGCGAAGGCA
rnacentral:rRNA from 1 species